rnacentral:tRNA from 1 species
CCUUCGAUAGCUCAGUUGGUAAAGCGGAGGACUGUAGAUCCUUAGGUCGCUGGUUCGAAUCCGGCUCGAAGGA